rnacentral:rRNA from 1 species
UGGAGAGGUGCCAUCGGUCCCCCUCGGCGCCAAAAUCCCUUGGAACGGGGUAUCGGAGAAGGUGAGAAUCCUGUCAAGCGCCGGAGUGGGACCGUACGAUGUGCUCUCGUAGAGUCGGGCUGCUUGGGAGUGCAGCCUGAAGCGGGUGGUAAAUUCCAUCUAAAGCUAAAUACUGGCGGGAGACCGAUAGCGAACAAGUACCGUGAGGGAAAGAUGCAAAGAACUUUGAAAAGAGAGUUAAAGAGUGCUUGAAAUUGGCAGGAGGAAACCCGGUUGCGCGUGGCAUUUGGCGUGGUCGACUCAGCCGCGCGCGGAGAUCUGUAGGGGACCUAACGGCCUCGUGGUCAGCGCGCGCGGUGCACUUCGGCCGCGUCGGUCAGCCGCGUUUCUGUGCGGCCCAGACGGCCGUGGGCAGGGCUUCGGCGCCGCCUGCGGUUUGGGGGUCGCGCGGGAUCCCGGCUGAUGCGCACGGGCGCAACCGACCCGUCUAGAAACACGGACCAAGGAGUCUGACGCGUGUGC